rnacentral:tRNA from 1 species
GCCCGGGUGGUGGAAUUGGUAGACACGCCACUUUGAGGGGGUGGUGCCGGUUACGGUGUGUGAGUUCAAAUCUCGUCCCGGGUAC